rnacentral:rRNA from 1 species
UACGUAGGGUGCAAGCGUUGUCCGGAAUUAUUGGGCGUAAAGAGCUCGUAGGCGGUUUGUUGCGUCGGCUGUGAAAUCCCGAGGCUCAACCUCGGGUCUGCAGUCGAUACGAGCAAACUAGAGUGUUGCAGGGGAGACUGGAAUUCCUGGUGUAGCGGUGAAAUGCGCAGAUAUCAGGAGGAACACCGGUGGCGAAGGCGGGUCUCUGGGCAACAACUG